rnacentral:rRNA from 1 species
CCUACGGGGGGCUGCAGUGAGGAAUAUUGGUCAAUGGCCGCAGGGCUGAACCAGCCAAGUCGCGUGAGGGAUGACGGUCCUAUGGAUUGUAAACCUCUUUUGUCAGGGAGCAAAGGGCGCCACGUGUGGCGCUUUGCGAGUACCUGAAGAAAAAGCAUCGGCUAACUCCGUGCCAGCAGCCGCGGUAAUACGGAGGAUGCGAGCGUUAUCCGGAUUUAUUGGGUUUAAAGGGUGCGCAGGCGGAAUGUCAAGUCAGCGGUAAAAUUUCGGGGCUCAACCCCGUCGUGCCGUUGAAACUGGCGUUCUUGAGUGAGCGAGAAGUAUGCGGAAUGCGUGGUGUAGCGGUGAAAUGCAUAGAUAUCACGCAGAACUCCGAUUGCGAAGGCAGCAUACCGGCGCCCAACUGACGCUGAAGCACGAAAGCGUGGGUAUCGAACAGGAUUAGAUACCCGGGUAGUC